AACGAACGCUGGCGGCAUGCCUAACACAUGCAAGUCGAACGAGACCUUCGGGUCUAGUGGCGCACGGGUGUGUAACGCGUGGGAACCUGCCCUUAGGUUCGGAAUAACUCCCCGAAAGGGGUGCUAAUACCGGAUAAUGUCUUCGGACCAAAGAUUUAUCGCCUUUGGAUGGGCCCGCGUUGGAUUAGCUAGUUGGUAGGGUAAAAGCCUACCAAGGCGACGAUCCAUAGCUGGUCUGAGAGGAUGAUCAGCCACACUGGGACUGAGACACGGCCCAGACUCCUACGGGAAGCAGCAGUGGGGAAUAUUGGACAAUGGGCGAAAGCCUGAUCCAGCAAUGCCGCGUGAGUGAUGAAGGCCUUAGGGUUGUAAAGCUCUUUUACCCGGGAUGAUAAUGACAGUACCGGGAGAAUAAGCUCCGGCUAACUCCGUG
rnacentral:rRNA from 1 species